UAGGGAAUCUUCCGCAAUGGACGCAAGUCUGACGGAGCAACGCCGCGUGAGUGAAGAAGGAUUUCGGUUCGUAAAACUCUGUUGUUAGAGAAGAACAGCGCAUAGAGUAACUGUUAUGCGUGUGACGGUAUCUAACCAGAAAGCCACGGCUAACUACGUGCCAGCAGCCGCGGUAAUACGUAGGUGGCAAGCGUUGUCCGGAUUUAUUGGGCGUAAAGCGAGCGCAGGCGGUCAAUUAAGUCUGAUGUGAAAGCCCCCGGCUCAACCGGGGAGGGUCAUUGGAAACUGGUUGACUUGAGUGCAGAAGAGGAGAGUGGAAUUCCAUGUGUAGCGGUGAAAUGCGUAGAUAUAUGGAGGAACACCAGUGGCGAAGGCGACUCUCUGGUCUGUAACUGACGCUGUGGCUCGAAAGCGUGGGUAGCAAACAGG
rnacentral:rRNA from 1 species